rnacentral:lncRNA from 1 species
UCAGCUUUAACUCCAAUAUAUGCUGUGAUUUUUAGCAUGUUUAUUCUUUGGUACAUCGUGUAAGAAAAGAUGAUACAUUAAUAAAAAAAAAUUGGAACUGAGGAUAAAACCUUAAGAAAGCAACAAAAAGUGUGAAACCAAGGCUAUUAAAACCUUCAAAAUUGGUCUCAAUAUACAGCAGAUUGGUUCUGAAGAGCGAUUCAUAGUUUGGAACUAAAAUUGGUUCGUGGUUCGGCUCAGGGGCGAUGGCUUGCUGUUUUGAACGGUUGAGGAGAGCGAGGAAGCAGCGGCUGAAUCUAAUCGGGAGGAGACAGCUUCGGGCUGGCUGUUUUGAAUGGUUGAGGAGAGCAAAGAAGCAGCAGCUGAAUUGAUUCGGGAGGAGACAGCUUCAGACAGUACUUGGUCGACGGCUGCUGGGGCGGGUCAGAACCCAAACCCUGAAAAUAAUAAAAUGUUUUAUUUUGGUUCAUAGUUAAUAUUGAGCAAAUUAUAUUUUAAUCCUUUAAAGUGGUAUGCAAUAUUUAUGACAUGGUAAAUUGUGCAAUGUAACAUUCAAUGAUUGAUCCACAUUUCAAAACAUGUCAUGUUAGAUUUUCAUUAAAAAUUUUAAUGGGAAUAAUUAAAAUGAACAAAUUAUAUAACAUAAAUAUCUAAAAGGAAUUUUUUUUAUUAUACAAGUUUCAUAGUAAUGGUGUUGACAACGUGAUUUCAUUAUUUAAUGGGCAGAGAAGAUGGUUUCACGUUUAAGAAUUGCGUACCCAGUAAGAAAUUAAUAGCAAAGAAUAAUCUUUUACCUAAUACAACAUACAAGUUAUCUAUUAUUUUAUUCCUUAAUAUUGUCUCAACUUUUCUUCUUAGAUGCAACAAUCCUUUGUAUUAACCCACUUCUAAUUUAGAGAAGCAAUUAACACUAAAAAGAACAGCUGUUUCAUGCUUAUGUCAGGCAUCAAUGAUUAAUCUUGUUCUGUUAUUUUAAAUAUAAAAAUUGAUCAAAGGGUAUAGAUGCUUGUAAUAGUGCUUAAAGUGUAGCAACUAAAGAUCUAUUAUUCUAAGAGUAUAGAUGCCUAUAAUAAGUACAAAUAUAAUCCUUUAAAAAUAUAAAAAAAGAAAAGAAAUUUAAAAUUAUAAUUUACAUUUAGUCAGACACCAAAUAAAAAGAGAAUAGAUUAGUAGCAAUAAAAGGAGAAGUAGAAAUGCAGACAAAAGGCAGGAGGGAACACAUCUGAAACCUUAUCUCCAACACCACCCC